AUUGAACGCUGGCGGCAUGCCUUACACAUGCAAGUCGAACGGCAGCGGGGGAGAAGCUUGCUUUUCCUGCCGGCGAGUGGCGAACGGGUGAGUAAUACAUCGGAACGUGCCCUGUAGUGGGGGAUAACUAGUCGAAAGAUUAGCUAAUACCGCAUACGACCUGAGGGUGAAAGUGGGGGACCGCAAGGCCUCAUGCUGUAGGAGCGGCCGAUGUCUGAUUAGCUAGUUGGUGGGGUAAAGGCCUACCAAGGCGACGAUCAGUAGCUGGUCUGAGAGGACGAUCAGCCACACUGGGACUGAGACACGGCCCAGGCUCCUACGGGAGGCAGCAGUGGGGAAUUUUGGACAAUGGGCGAAAGCCUGAGCCAGCAAUGCCGCGUGUGUGAAGAAGGCCUUCGGGUUGUAAAGCACUUUUGUCCGGAAAGAAAUGGCUCUGGUUAAUACCUGGGGUCGAUGACGGUACCGGAAGAGUAAGGACCGGCUAACUACGUGCCAGCCGCCGCCGUAA
rnacentral:rRNA from 1 species